UCAACAGGAACUACUCUGGUGUUUCAGGUGGAUUUUAUGGGAUUGAUUGGAGGAGUGGCAGGAAGUUUGAGUACUGCUUGCCAGCAGGAAGUAAAAGAUCCAGGAAGUGGAUGAACAGGAAACCGUGUAGCAUUUGUCUGGACGUGCCAUCUGCCUUGAGCAGAUCAAGAACACUGUUGCAAUGACUCUGCCGUCACUACACGAUCAGUUCUUCGCUUAGGUACAGAUUUCAGAUAAACACUUGUACCCCAAACACCAUCUCAGUAUCUACUUCAAAGAAAGCUAAUGACAAUAUCAGACAACGGGGGUCAAAAAUGAAUCCAAUCAAGAAAGAGCAGUUUGGGCGAAUCUUCCCUGAGGCUUUGCCUGUCAGUGCAGACUCUGAAGAGAUGCCCAGCCAUCAACAUCCACCCUUCUCCAAGCACCUUUGUUCUGACAGUGAACUCUCCCCUUACAGAUUUUAAAGACUCACGUUCAAUAUCAUCAUAGAUUGUCAAAGAAGUAAGUCC
rnacentral:lncRNA from 1 species